CCUACGGGAGACAGCAGUGAGGAAUAUUGGUCAAUGGACGAGAGUCUGAACCAGCCAAGUAGCGUGAAUGAUGACUGCCCUAUUGGUUGUAAACUUCUUUUGUAAGGGAAUAAAACGCGGCACGUGUGCCUUUUUGCAUGUCCUUUAUGAAUAAGGAUCGGCUAACUCCGUGCCAGCAGCCGCGGUAAUCCGGAGGGACCGAGCGUUAUCCGGAUUUAUUGGGGUUAAAGGGUCCGUAGGUGGUUAAUUAAGUCAGCGGUGAAAGUUUGUGGCCCAACCAUAAAAUUGCCGUUGAAACUGGGGGACUUGAGUAGAUGUGAGGUAGGCGGAAUGCGUGGUGUAGCGGUGAAAUGCAUAGAUAUCACGCAGAACUCCGAUUGCGAAGGCAGCUUACUAAACUAUAACUGACACUGAAGCACGAAAGCGUGGGGAUCAAACAGGAUUAGAUACCCUAGUAGUC
rnacentral:rRNA from 1 species